rfam:Schistosoma rodhaini strain Burundi genome assembly, scaffold: SROB_scaffold0000194
ACCCAGCUGACGAGUCCCAAAUUGAACGAAACGCACGUCCUCAAU